rnacentral:rRNA from 1 species
UACGUAGGAGACGAGCGUUGUCCGGAGUUACUGGGCGUAAAGGGUGCGCAGGUGGCGGCGCGCGUGGGGGGUGAAAUCGCCCGGCUUAACUGGGCGGGGGCCUUCCAGACGGCGUGGCUUGAGCAGCGGAGGGGGACGUGGAAUUCCGGGUGGAGCGGUGAAAUGCGUAGAGAUCCGGAAGAACACCGGUGGCGAAGGCGGCCUGCUGGGCAGUUGCUGACGCUGAGGCGCGACAGCGUGGGGAGCAAACAGG